GAUGAACGCUGGCGGCGUGCCUAAUACAUGCAAGUCGAGCGAACCACUUCGGUGGUGAGCGGCGAACGGGUGAGUAUCACGUAGGUUAUCUGCCCAUCAGACGGGGACAACGAUUGGAAACGAUCGCUAAUACCGGAUAGGACGAAAGUUUAAAGGUGCUUCUGGCACCGCUGAUGGAUGAGCCUGCGGCGCAUUAGCUAGUUGGUAGGGUAAAGGCCUACCAAGGCGACGAUGCGUAGCCGACCUGAGAGGGUGAACGGCCACACUGGGACUGAGACACGGCCCAGACUCCUACGGGAGGCAGCAGUAGGGAAUCUUCGGCAAUGGGCGAAAGCCUGACCGAGCAACGCCGCGUGAAUGAUGAAGGCCUUCGGGUUGUAAAAUUCUGUUAUAAGGGAAGAACGACUUUAGUAGGAAAUGGCUAAAGUGUGACGGUACCUUAUGAGAAAGCCACGGCUAACUACGUGCCAGCCGCCGCCGUAA
rnacentral:rRNA from 1 species